AAUGAACGCUGGCGGCGCGCCUAACACAUGCAAGUCGAGCGAGGCCACGGGGCAACUCGUGAGUCGAGCGGCGAACGGGUGAGUAACGCGUGGGUAACCUACCCUGAAGUGGGGGAUAGCUCCUCGAAAGAGGGGGUAAUACCGCAUACGAUCGCCGGAGCACAAGCUCUGGCGAGGAAAGGCUGGGACCCUUCGGGGCCAGCCGAUUCUGGAUGGGCCCGCGUCCGAUUAGCUAGUUGGUAGGGUAAUGGCCUACCAAGGCGACGAUCGGUAGCCGGCCUGAGAGGGUGAUCGGCCACAUUGGGACUGAGACACGGCCCAGACUCCUACGGGAGGCAGCAGUGGGGAAUCUUGGGCAAUGGGCGAAAGCCUGACCCAGCGACGCCGCGUGGGGGAUGACGGCCUUUGGGUUGUAAACCCCUGUCAGGGGGGACGAAAGCCUUCCGGUCAAUAGCCGGGAGGUUUGACGGUACCCCAAAGGAAGCCCCGGCUAACUCCGUGCCAGCCGCCGCGGUAAAAC
rnacentral:rRNA from 1 species